rnacentral:rRNA from 1 species
GACGAACGCUGGCGGCGUGCUUAACACAUGCAAGUCGAGCGGUAAGGCCCUUUCGGGGGUACACGAGCGGCGAACGGGUGAGUAACACGUGGGUGACCUGCCCUCAGCUCUGGGAGUAAGCCUGGGAAACUGGGUCUAAUACUGGAUAUGACUCCACGGUGCAUGUCGUGGGGUGGAAAGCCUUGUGCGGCUGAGGAUGGGCCCGCGGCCUAUCAGCUUGUUGGUGGGGUGAUGGCCUACCAAGGCGACGACGGGUAGCCGGCCUGAGAGGGCGACCGGCCACACUGGGACUGAGACACGGCCCAGACUCCUACGGGAGGCAGCAGUGGGGAAUCUUGCGCAAUGGGCGAAAGCCUGACGCAGCGACGCCGCGUGAGGGAUGACGGCCU